GACGAACGCUGGCGGCGUGCCUAAUACAUGCAAGUUGAGCGAUGAAGAUUGGUGCUUGCACCAAUUUGAAGAGCAGCGAACGGGUGAGUAACGCGUGGGGAAUCUGCCUUUGAGCGGGGGACAACAUUUGGAAACGAAUGCUAAUACCGCAUAAUAACUUUAAACAUAAGUUUUAAGUUUGAAAGAUGCAAUUGCAUCACUCAAAGAUGAUCCCGCGUUGUAUUAGCUAGUUGGUGAGGUAAAGGCUCACCAAGGCGAUGAUACAUAGCCGACCUGAGAGGGUGAUCGGCCACAUUGGGACUGAGACACGGCCCAAACUCCUACGGGAGGCAGCAGUAGGGAAUCUUCGGCAAUGGACGAAAGUCUGACCGAGCAACGCCGCGUGAGUGAAGAAGGUUUUCGGAUCGUAAAACUCUGUUGGUAGAGAAGAACGUUGGUGAGAGUGGAAAGCUCAUCAAGUGACGGUAACUACCCAGAAAGGGACGGCUAACUACGCG
rnacentral:rRNA from 1 species